GACGAACGCUGGCGGCGUGCCUAAUACAUGCAAGUUGAGCGCUGAAGGUUGGUACUUGUACCGACUGGAUGAGCAGCGCACGGGUGAGUAACGCGUGGGGAAUCUGCCUUUGAGCGGGGGACAACAUUUGGAAACGAAUGCUAAUACCGCAUAAAAACUUUAAACACAAGGUUUAAGUUUGAAAGAUGCAAUUGCAUCACUCAAAGAUGAUCCCGCGUUGUAUUAGCUAGUUGGUGAGGUAAAGGCGCACCAAGGCGAGGAUACAUAGCCGACCUGAGAGGGUGGGCGGCCAGCUUGGGACGGAGACAGGCCCCAAACUCCUACGGGAGGCAGCCGUAGGGAAUCUUCGGCAAUGGACGAAAGUCUGACCGAGCAACGCCGAGUGAGUGAAGAAGGUUUUCGGAUCGGAAAACUCUGUUGGUAGAGAAGAACGUUGGUGAGAGUGGAAAGAUCAUCAAGUGACGGUAACUACCCAGAAAGGGACGGCUAACUACGUG
rnacentral:rRNA from 1 species